GAGGAUGUAGCUCAACCUGGGAGAGCACCACGCUGAAGCCGUGGAUGUUGGGAGUCCAAAUCUCUCCAUCCUCA
rnacentral:tRNA from 3 species